rnacentral:rRNA from 1 species
UACAUGUGGGGCAAGCGUUGUUCGGAAUUACUGGGCGUAAAGGGCGCGUAGGCGGCCUGUUAAGUCGAACGUGAAAUCCCCGGGCUCAACCCGGGAACUGCGUCCGAUACUGGCAGGCUUGAAUCCGGGAGAGGGAUGCGGAAUUCCAGGUGUAGCGGUGAAAUGCGUAGAUAUCUGGAGGAACACCGGUGGCGAAGGCGGCAUCCUGGACCGGUAUUGACGCUGAGGCGCGAAAGCCAGGGGAGCAAACGGG